rnacentral:lncRNA from 1 species
UGUUCAUAUAUAUGUUAUUUUUAAUUCAGAAGUAAAACAAAUAUUGGAAGAGGCCACAGUUAUUAUAAAAAUAAUUUGACCAGUAUUGGACAAUGCAAAUAGCAAUCAUUUAGAAGUUUCUGUACAACAGAUGCCAUAUGUGUUACAUUUUAUUUGAUCAUCAAAAUUGUCAUAGAUAUUAUUAUCCCCAUUUCAUAGAAGAAACUGAGAUUAUAUAAUUUGUUCAACUUGACCAACUUCUUAUAACUAAUACAUAGUAGAGAUAAGGUUGAAACCUCAUUAACCAACUUCUUAUAACUAAUACAUAGUAGAGAUAAGGUUGAAACCUCAUUAGGUUUGACUCCAGACCCCAGCCUCUUUUGAGUGCAUCAUAAAAGGCUUUGGUCUGCCCGUGGCCAGUAACAACUUUUACUAAAUUGAUUCUUUGCUUUUUAUCUGUAAAAGGAAGUUAUUCACCUAUUUUGAUGAUCCCCAAUGUUUUUAACAUCAAUAAAUGUGUCCACCACACAUGAUAGUUUUUAAUGUUUUGUUUCCAUGAUUACAGGAUUAAAAAACUAUUAAUUAGUGAUACUUUUAAUUUUGAUUUUAUUAAUUAAAACACAUCUGUCUACAUCUGAAGAAUAGCACUUGUGACAACAGCAUAGACGGCUUCAUUUUGAGGAGUAAAUUACAAUUGAACAUGACCAAAUAUACAUAGAGAAGGCGUGGACCACACAAAUGUGAUUGAAAGCUGGCGUGGAGUCAUCUUAAAUUGACUUUUUCCCAAAGGGCCCCUAAAAGAGGGUAGAAUCCCAACAGAUAGAGUCUAUGGAGAGAUAGACUGCUGAGACCCAUAUUAUGGUCAGUGAAGUGCAGGCAAGGAAGGGAUCCUUAGCAAAAUGGGGAGAGGAAUGGAUGGUCUGAAAAACCCUGAAGGAACUGAAACACUCUGCAAAGGAAAGAAGAACAAGUAUCAGCUUUGACCCCUGCCAGACCUAGGCAGCAACAACGGCAGCUCACAAAGCACCAGAACAAACGCGCUUUCUUGUGCCCCUACAUGUCUUCCCUUCACCGUCUUGAACCCUGGUGUCAUCAUAAACUGUGUAAGUUAACAACUGAGGAGGGGAAGAAUGAUAAAUUGGGAAAAUAGAAAAGUGUCUGGGCCCUACUUUCAUACCGUAGGCCAGCCUUCUGUAGCAUGGCAGAUUAGGCAAGUGCAGAAGCCUUAAUUUUGAAUGAAAGUUGGAGUUUUUGUUCUGCUCUGGCUGUACCUAUCAGUUUCAAAACUGGAAUAGUUUAAAUGACUAAAGUACUAGGAAGAUUUUAUUACUUAAUAUAACUAUGGAGAACUGACCAAGAUUUUAUCUAGGGGGAGGAGUAUCACCCUACAGAGCAGACUUUAAGGGACAUUAUGAGAGAAAACAGUUACUUAGUGAUUUAAUGUUGCCAAUUCUGUUCUUUAGAAUACCAUCAUGUAUUUAUAUCCCUAUAUAUCACAUAACUAAAAUAUACAUUUAUCUGUACGCGUGUGUAUCAUAUGGAGCACAUUUUCUUUUGCAGGGUUUCUUUGUUUUAAAUGUCUAUUUGGUUAUUUUCUUGAUUGAAUUUCUGUGUAUGCUUUUUUCCUCAAUGCUUUAGCUGUAAGCGAAUAAGUGACAGAGCUCCUUGCUGCUCAAAUUUUAUGCCAGAUAAAAUAUUCACCUUCUCGGACUCCCUGGCACCAGGCAUGGCCAUGUAAUCCUACAGCACAGCUGAUGAAAGAGAAGACAUCUUGCUGCUAUUUGACAAGCAAGAAGAUAAAAGCUUUCCUAUAAAGAUGAUGGAGCAAAAAAAUAGAAGGGGCCUAGACUCCCUACCUUCACACUUCCUGCUAUAAAAGCAUUGCUAUUAUAAGGUUAAUCUGCAGAAACAGACUUCUAUGUCAUAUGCUUAAAUGCAUCAAAAUUCAUACAAUAUCCAUUAAAUUGGUAAAAGUAUCCAUUUUAAAGGAUUAAUCUGAGGGACCCACAGACACUUAACACAAUCAAAUCUCAGAAAAAAAAUCAGUUAUUUCAUUGUGAUUUUGAGGCUGAUCUUUUAU